GGAUGCCUCAGAGGAUUCUUUUCCCCAGCUUGAAACACUUGUUAUAAGAGGGUGUGACAAGCUCAACGCGAUCCCCUUUAGCUUUGUAGAUAUUCCAACACUGCAACAGAUUAAGUUGCUUAACUGCAUGAAUAAAUCACUGGAGGCUUCAGCUGUGAAAAUUAAGGAAGAAGUCAGCAAUAUUGAAGGAUGCGACCGUAUUGACAUCAGUAUCGGAGAUAAGUGGGGAAAUCUAAAGCACCUGUGAGUCAAGCACAUGAUUAGCUCGUAACAAGGACAUGGUAUCCAUAAUUUCUCCAUGUGGCACUACACUAGAUUUGUUGUUAUUGUUGGCUGAUGAUUAGGAUGUGUACGUAGAUCUCAAGAUGGUGAGGAUGUUUCUGAAUUUUACAAUUACUUUGACAACUGCUGCAAAAGCACAUUCAGCUUGGCGAAAUGCCUAUCCUUCUUAUAUUGUAACAGGAUUACUGAUUGCUAAGUGUGUUUUGAUUGAUCAACUGGGAUACAUGCCCUCUUUAUCUGUAUGUAAUAUAUGUCAGACGGUCUUUCACUGUGAUUUCUUGUUGCCUUUCUCAUGCAGCUUUAUAAUUUUAGAACCAGACAAA